ensembl:lncRNA
CACAGAGGAAACAUCAUUCAGCUGUGGAUGUGACACUAACCAUGUGCAUACCUUUGAGAAAACAUUGGCACUACUGAAGAAGGGCUGGUUGGUUGACAUUGUAAUACAGGAUCAAGAAGUCUUGAGAUUGCACGAAGGCUUGAGAAACGGCACAAUCCGAUCCAGCAGGAUAGAGGAUAAUUGAAAGAAUAUACAAGGUAACACAGCUGCCUAGGGUUUCCCUGGACAACACAACUUACGUUCUAUGAGCUAACACUGUUAAUGCUGCAAAAGACUGAGGGCUUUCAUAGGUUCCAGGCAGAAAUGGCUUUACAGUCAAACAUUGCUUUGGAGGUCAAAUGUUCAAAUCCACCAUGGUUUUGAUGGCACUACAUCAGUAGGAGUGUAAUCCUGUAUGAAGAGGGUGGUCCGCUGAACAACUGUACUUUAGGCCCAAAGUUUCACAUUUCUCCUAGUAGUAAGAUCAAUAAUAUCACUGACAUUGAAUACUGUAUGUAAACAUUGUUAUUGAAAUACUGAUUUAGAUACAGUACCGGUCAAAAUUUUGGACACAUUACUAGGCCUACUAGUCUCUUAUCAUCAAGACUGCUUAAAGCCAAUUUGAUCAAAAAUACAGAAAGCACAGUAAUAUUGUGUAAUAUUACAAUUAAAAAUAAUAGUUUUCUAAAUUAAUAUACUUUAAAAUAUAAUUGUUUCCAUGAUUAAAGCUGAAUUUUCACCAACCAUUACUCCAGUCUUCACAUGAUCCUUCAGAAAUCAUUCUAUGAUGAUUUGCUGCUAUUAUCAGUAUUGGAAACAGUUGUGCUGCUUAAUAUUAUUAUUUGUUUUGUGUGAUACUUUUUCAGGAUUCAAUGAUCAAUAAAAAGUUAAAAAGAACAGCAUUUAUUCAAAAUAUAAAUCUUUUCUAACAAUGUAAGUGUUAACGGUCACUUUUCCAAAAUUUAACACAUCUUUGCUGAAUAAAGGUAUUACUUUCUUUCAAAAAAAAUAAAGGAAACAUUACUGACCCCAACUUUUGAACGGUAGUGUAUACUGUUACAAAAUAGUUCUGUUUUAAAUAAAUGCUGUAAUUUUUGACUUUUUAUUCAUUAAACGAAUCCUGAAAAAUGUAUCACAGGUUAUAAAACAAAUAUUAAGCAGCACAACAUUUUUCAGCAUUGAUAAUAAAUCAGCAUAUUGAUUUCUGAAGGAUCAUGUGACACUGAAGACUGGAGUAAUGAUGCUGAAAAUUCGGCUAUGAUCACUGGAAUAAAUUACACUUUAAAGUAUAUUAUGUAUUUGUGUGUGUGUGUAUGUGUGUGUAUAUAUAUAUAUAUAUAUAUAUAUAUAUAUAUAUAUAUGUGUGUGUGUGUUAACGUGAGACUCUUAUAAGAAAAAAAAAAUAUCGCCGUUAAUCUAUUCUCAAAGUUGGGUUGGGAGCUGGGUCUAUACUACGCAAGCUAUUGUGGCAGGUAGAGAUCGGUAAGUUCAUCAUUAGGCAUUAGUUUAUUCAUUGGUUGGGGCCGAUAGAGGGGGUUGGAUUAUGUGUAUAUAAACAACAUGCGUGUGUGACUUAGAUGAGCGUCACUUCAUUCAGGUAACGUUAUGCGUUUUAAUGGCUGUAAUGGUGUGUGGAUUUGCUUGCGUUUCGUUAGUAAUUCAUGCUUUUAUUGUAGUCAAUAUAAUGCUGUGUAUGAGCGGAUGACGACUGUAUAUGCUGAGUUAUUUUCCUUGUGUAUCCUGAGCUCCACCGGCUGAGUGAUUAAACCGAAACUAUACUUCGCAUUGCAUCUAUGGAGUAUUAUCUUCACUUCUACUGACUCCCGGGUCCCUGUGCCUGUUAUCUGGUAGGUCUAAUUCAUGUGGGUUUUAUUACGUAAAUGUUUUAUGGUGACUGGUUAACAUGACUAGUUUUCCCCUAUGUUGUAGAGUGAUAGGGGCACGCAGUGACGUCACCGCUGUCUUGUUCCUGGUUGAACAUUCAUGAAUUUCGUGUUAAUACGGUUGUGAACCCGUUGAGUGUGGGAGUGCUUUUUUUGCAUUCAUAUGGUCCAGUUGUGUUUUGAUUUAAUUUGGUUAAUUCUGUUAUUGUGCGUUUGGCAGGCAUUAAGUGUCAGCUGUGUUGCCUGCCUAAAUCUUGUGUUAAUUAUUUUUGUUGUGUUUGAGUGUGUGUGUGUGUGUGUGUGUGUGCUAUUCUGUUUUACAGGAGCUGCAGACCUUUUAUGGAGAGCAGGGCUGAAGUCUUUCUUUAGGUGGUGAUGGUGUUUCCUCACAGAGUGCUGUGAUUUGCCGUGUGCACUGGGGCUUUUGGAUUGGUGAGCUGCAGACCUUUUAUGGAGAGCAGGGCUGAAGUCUUUCUUUAGGUGGUGAUGGUGUUUCCUCACAGAGUGCUGUGAUUUGCCGUGUGCACUGGGGCUUUUGGAUUGGUGUGAGUGUGCAGUGUACUUAGAGUAAAGGCCUGUACGGCCGGUCAUGUAGCCCAGGCUGCAGCUCCUCAUUGUUGUCCUUUCUGGACCUUUUGUGUAAUUGUGGUCCCAGUCUCUUUUCAGUGAAUGUGUUUUAAAUUUCUGUUGUUAUUGAAUUCAAAAUAAAUUGUUUUAUUUUUAUACCAGUACCUCUGUCUCCAUUGUCUAUUUUGCCACAGAGUGGGGGACCUGUGUAUAGUAUCUUUAAUAAAUUCCUUGGGUGAGAUUCCCAGGGUGGCGUAGUCAGGCAUUGUUAACCCUUUGGGUCCUUAAUUCGAUUUAAGUUCACUUAAGUCAUACCUUC